rnacentral:lncRNA from 1 species
CAGGGAGAAGGCAUGAGACAAGCAGGACAGAAGCAAGAGUUCUUGCACACACUGAUACCUCAGGAUGGCCAGUAAUGGGAUUUCUCUUCCUCUUUUGUUGAUAGCAUCAUCGUCAGCUGGGGGUGAACAGGAGACUUGAUUGUUCUGCAGGGAAAGGGAAGGUGCAGCCAGUCAAGAUGGAAGGAUUAAUGGGAGAAGUGUCCUACAUAUACUCCCCCCACCCCCCGGUGGCCCCCAGGAACCACCACACGCUCUGUCCCUUGGUGUCAGGAGAACGAACCGGUCGCUCGCAACGGAGGGGACCCAGACUGAGACUGGAUUAUGGUGAUGGGCGUUAUUAUUACCGAUCCAAGGAGCCUGCCAUCUCGAAGGGGCAGAGCAGUGAGCCAAGGUUUAGGCCUCCAGUGCAGAACAUGGCUUGUUUGUCACCGUACCAGCCCACCAAGCGUCGUCGCCGUGUGGCGCCGGUGCCACCGCCCCGCCCGCACGUGGGGGACAGGUGCAUCCCUGGGAUCAGACGUGGGCUGCCCGUGGAGAGGUGGUUCCAUCCCACCACUGCAUUCAAUGAACAGUUUUUGAUCAAUGUGAGUAGUCUCUGCCCACAGACAGGUGCAUUACAUUCCUCACCGGUGUCUUUGCUUACUGCUGAAAGA